UUAUUUCUUGUGUUCUUAUUUUAUUUAAAUUUUUUUAAUCGUCCUUGAUUGUUUUGAUGGAUUAUGUUAGGUUAAAUAUGUGUAUUUCUAUCUUUUCAUGUUUUAAUUGAUAAAUUUCAAAUUGGAGGUUUGGGUAUUUUAGCAAAAUUUCGAGGCUUGUAGGUAGGAUUCUUUCAAUAGGGUAGUUAAUCGUUCUGGUAUAUUGAUCUUGCCCUUUGUUUUACUGAAUUGACUUAUGUAUUGAUCCCAAUUUGAGGUUUUUUUAUUCUUCAUUGGAUUGAGAGUUCAGAAACAGAAAAUCAGGACCGAAUUAGGCAAACCGUAGCUAUAAAGGUCAGGUCAUUGGUUUUCAUUAGCAUGAAUUAUUGCGUUAUGAUUAUAUGAAGCACAAAUUUGGACUUUGAGAAGGUGAUGACUCUAAGUCUCUAACUCCACUCGACUCAUGUCUUAGUUUGUGACUAUUUACAGUUUUAGUUUUUGUUUUCCAUUGUUACCAGAUCACAUCAAUGCGUUAAACAUUGGAUCCCACAUGAAUCCAAAUCCUUCCCCUACUUGAUUUACUUAUUGAUCUUGCCAGAAUUAGUGAUCUAAUUUUCUUCCACUAUUUCUUUUCAUUACACUUUGCAUACUUAUUUUUGAAUUUGGUCAACUACUUGUAUAAAGUUAUUUUCAGUCUCUAUAAUAAAGAAAAGGUAGUUAUUUCUCGGUCAUUAUAUGAUAUCACAAGGGUGCCUUUGGUUUUCUCACCUGUUCUCCCUUUGUUGCACCUAUGAAAAAGUUGCUUUACUUUAAUAGUGACUAAAUGCUGAAGCAAAUAUUAUUUACCAUAAGUGGUAGUCUGAAAUUUUCUUCCUUGUUAUGUAUUACUAUUGCUUCAGGUAUAUCAGCUGAACACUAGGAAUUUCGUUGAGGCAUCGCAACUAGUGUUAGAUAUCUCACCGGACACUCAAGGAAUGGGGGAACUGAUCCGUUGUAUAUAGCAGAGAAUGUUGUUGACCCUGAAUGUACCCUAGAUGUAUAUAUGUGUUUGGCAACACUUCCUGCUUGUCCAGAAAUUGGCACAACAUGGCCUGCCUAAUGAUACUCAUGUUGUUGCAGUGGAAAGAGGGACAACUGCUCAACAACAUUUGGUAAGGAAUACCUGACCUUUCCUUCAUUCUAUUUUGUUUAACUUUCCUGCAUAAUGCCUAGGAUGUUCUAUAAGUUUUAUACUGGCUUCAUUAGCAUUACAUAUUUUGUGGUGUUGAUUGGUAGGGAUUUUUUUUAUUUCAAGGCGAACACAUUUGUUAUCUUUCUAUGAUUUCUGCACCUCCUACAUUAUAACCAGCUAGUAAAUAUAAAAGAAAAGGGGUGUGAUCUGAUGUAGAAGAGUUGAGACAAUUCAUUUAUAUAUAUGCCAAUGUUUACCCAAAGACUGUUACCUUUUCUUUUGCUCUCAAAAAAUCGUGCUCUUAUUAAAAUUCAGAAAAUUCCUUAGUCGAAAUAUCAUAAAUAGGAACACCAUUACUUCUAUUCUUAAUUCUUCACUAAAAAACUGAUCAGCCUACUUCCACAAUCCACAUUUAGCUCUCACGGAUAUCAUGAACUCAUGAUGCAUGUUAGGUCUUGCAACUUCUUAGCGCAUGUUCAGUAGUUAACUUAAUGCAGCAGAAGUCUGCACUUUUAUGAAGGAUGAAUAUCAGAAAUAAAUAGUAUCGUAGCUGCAUAAUGAAGUUAGGCUUAGUGAUUGAUAGUCAAUUAGGUUGAACAGCUGAUUAAGUAAAUCUUCAUUAUAAGGUACAACAGUUAAGAAUUAACAUUCCAUCAUGUGUAAUAAAUUAUUUUCUACAAUUCACUGACCUGCAAUGCAAAAAAGGAGACACCGGUCAAAACAAAAACAAGCAGCAGAAGGACGAGAUCUCAAAAAUAUGAAUAGCUUAGACUAUCUUGGAGGACUUGAAGAUUUCCGGUCAUUGCUCACUUCAUUUACUCGAUACAGGAGGAAAUUCAAAAAAUAAUGGCAGAAGAACCAAUUCCGUGGAUACGGUACAAGAAGAAAACAAUGCACUCAAGAGCCACAUGAGUUCAGUUGAAGAUGAACUUAAAUAUUUAAAGAAGUGUCACUACAACGGCUUAAGGCUCCAAGAGAGGACACUUCAACUAUUUAGAUUUUAUUUUGUUCUAUUAACAUUAGUUUCUUAGAAUUUAAAGACAAGGAGAUGUGAUUGUUGGGUUCACAUAACUUGAAGUUCUAUUGUCAAAUUUUUUUUGAGUAAUGAAAUUUUCAUUUGUUUUAAUUUA